rnacentral:lncRNA from 10 species
CUUCUUUCUUUCCUUCCUUCCAAAGUGUUUUUCUCAUGUGCCUACUGUAUGGAAGGCAUUGCUCUAGGUUCUAGAGAUGCAGAGAUAAAAGGUGACUUCCAUCUUUGAGAAGUGGACAGUGAGACUACCCAGUGGAAUCAUUUAUAGAAGCAUGAGGAGCUGAGGUCAUGUUAAAGGACUCUAUAAAGACACCAUCAGCAAAAUUCAGACAGCGGGAAACUACAGGGCAAACACCGGACUUCCUCAGUAAAUACACUACAACGGGCAAAAGUAAGAGGGAGGGAAGAUCUAUAGAUUAAAGGGGACUUAAGGGACAUAUCAAUCAAUCAUCAUGUAAGACCUUAUGUGGAUCCUGAUUUAAACAAAUGCUGUUAGAAAGAACUAUUAUAAGGCAAUCAAAAAAACUGGAACAUUUGUGGAUAUUUGAUUAUUUUAACUAAUUAUAAGGUCGAAGAGUAUGUCUUGGUUAUAGAAAUUCACGUCAGAGCAGCGAAGUGGCUUCUGUUUAAAGCAGAAUGUUUUCAGGAGUGACGUGUCAACCUGGAGGAUCUUGGGAUCCACUCUUGCCCUUCCUGGCCCCACCUGCAGCUGUUCUGGUUACACCUUCAGGGGUGUGAGAGGAUUGUUACUUGAUGAGAAGCACCCCACCAAGAUGAGAGGUGGGGGGAUUGCAUAAAGACAUAUUUCCUUUCACGUUAAAAGAGAGAAAAUAAAAGAGCAAGGGAAAUCACAGUAAUAUAAUUUUUUAAAAUCCUUGUUAGGCAGCACUUCAGGCAGGAGAAAGGUGUUGAGAAAUCAAGUAAACAAUGACAGCACACCAGGACUCCCAAAAGGCUAGGUGUUGCUUGUGGAAGCCGCCUGAGAAACAGAAAGGACACACUCAGGAUAAAAAUGAAAUAAAAAGUGGAUCAUGGUGGUGAGAAGAAAGGAAAUUCCACCUCUGAUCCGCAUCUCACAAAUGCAUAAACUGCUUUAUUGUUUUGCUGAGAAGCUCACAAAAUGCAUAAACCACUUUACUGAAACAAAGACUAAUACCCUUGAUGGCUCCUGCCACCUCUGCCAGCCCUGCUCAGAGGGAUGAGAACCUUCCAUCUGCCCUUGGCCCAUCCAGACCCUCAACCAGUUUGGGUCAAGAUAGCCUGCAAAGUUCUGGGCUCCCAACUGGCCAGCCAGUGGAGUCUGGAAGCAAUUCUGCAGCCGUGACAUCUAAUGCAUAUGGGGUGAGUCUCACAUACACCCAUGUCCACUGAGCAGCAGCUUCCCCCAUGACCCUCGCCAAUCUGGCAAGUAGAAAAACAAUGGCUCUGGGCACGGGUUCAAAUCCCAGCUCUGCUACUUCCCAGUUGAAUGAUCUUGGACAAAUUACCUAACGGUUCUCUGUCUGUUUUCUCCCGUCAAUUCACAAGGCU